UGGAAAGUAAAGUUGGGGGGAGAAAAGAGUGAGAUGUGGAAAAAGUUUGGAGUUCAGGGCUAAUAGGUAGGCCUUUGGACUGGUUUCGUAGGUUCGAGCUCGUAGGUAGCUCCGAACCGGGGUGUGUAUAGGGUGUCUCGGUAUGCCCCUACACUUGUGGUGCCCUUUGGUGGCAAUGGAUGGUGCCCUUUGGUGGCAAUGGUCAUGUUCAUGUUAAAUAAAAUGUUCAAUGUUUG